GCCAGGUGUGGUGGCUCACACCUGUAAUCCCAGCACUUUGGAGGCUGAGGUGGGUGGAUCACUUGAGGUCAGGAGUUUGAGACCAGCCUGGCCAACGUGGUGAAACCCCAUCUCUA
rnacentral:SRP_RNA from 1 species